rnacentral:rRNA from 1 species
UAGGGAAUCUUCGGCAAUGGACGAAAGUCUGACCGAGCAACGCCGCGCGAGUGAAGAAGGUUUUCGGAUCGUAAAACUCUGUUGUUAGAGAAGAACAAGGACGUUAGUAACUGAACGUCCCCUGACGGUAUCUAACCAGAAAGCCACGGCUAACUACGUGCCAGCAGCCGCGGUAAUACGUAGGUGGCAAGCGUUGUCCGGAUUUAUUGGGCGUAAAGCGAGCGCAGGCGGUUUCUUAAGUCUGAUGUGAAAGCCCCCGGCUCAACCGGGGAGGGUCAUUGGAAACUGGGAGACUUGAGUGCAGAAGAGGAGAGUGGAAUUCCAUGUGUAGCGGUGAAAUGCGUAGAUAUAUGGAGGAACACCAGUAGCGAAGGCGGCUCUCUGGUCUGUAACUGACGCUGAGGCUCGAAAGCGUGGGGAGCAAACAGG